UUCUCUGGGCAACCUGUUCCAGUGCCUCACAACCCUCACAGGAAUCGGAUUCGGAAGAUUUCCAUAUAGUACAAAUCUGAAGACUGAUGGGCGUAUUACUGGAUCUGUAACACAUCAAUACCAUGCUACCCUUGGGAAGGUCUACCACAAGGCAUUUGAUCUAGCCACAAAACCACCUGAAAGGUUUCCACUUGUGCAGCAUGCCUUUGGAGGAAG